rnacentral:rRNA from 1 species
UGCGUAGGCGGCGCGGUAAGUCGGGUGUGAAAUCUCGGAGCUCAACUCCGAAACUGCAUUCGAUACUGCCGUGCUUGAGGACUGGAGAGGAGACUGGAAUUUACGGUGUAGCGGUGAAAUGCGUAGAUAUCGUAAGGAAGACCAGUGGCGAAGGCGGGUCUCUGGACAGUUCCUGACGCUGAGGCACGAAGGGUCAGGGGAGGCAAACG